CAGAGACAGGGAACCUUUUAUCAGGUAAUGUUACAUUUGAUUAAAUGGGUGCCUGUUUAAAUACAACCAUGUGGCUGCAUUGCUGAACUCUGGGAAAUGAGUUAGAGCCAAACACGGAACUUCUACCCUGCCUUCCUGUGGGUGGAUGAUUGUACCAGUCGAGACCUAACUGGUUUCCUCCAAGACCAGCAAUCCCAAACCAGAGGAACUGUAUGAACAUCUACGCACUUACUCAGGAAACAUGAUAAAAGACACUAUGGUAAUAGUUGUAGUUCUUAGUCAGGAAACUUAGUAAAAGUCUGUGAUUAAGAGGUAAACUGUGCAGUAGUCUGAGAUCUGAAC
rnacentral:lncRNA from 1 species